rnacentral:tRNA from 2 species
GGCCCGUAGGUCAAGCGGUUAAGACACCGCCCUUUCACGGCGGUAACACGGGUUCGAAUCCCGUACGGGUCA